rnacentral:rRNA from 1 species
UACGUAGGAGGCAAGCGUUGUCCGGAGUUACUGGGCGUAAAGCGCACGCAGGCGGUCUACUGCAUCUGGCGGGACAGGGUCCGGCUUAACUGGGCCAGGCCGACAGAGAUGGGUAGACUUGAGGGCUUCAGAGGGAUGGGGAAUUCCGGGUGGAGUGGUGAAAUGCGUAGAGAUCCGGAAGAACACCAAAGGCGAAGGCACCAUCCUGGGAAGUCACUGACGCUCGGGUGCGAAAGCCAGGGGAG